GACAGAGGGUGCAAACGUUGUUCGGAAUUACUGGGCGUAAAGCGCGUGUAGGCGGUUAUGCAAGUCGGGUGUGAAAUCCCGGGGCUCAACCCCGGAAGUGCAUUCGAUACUGCGUAGCUAGAGUACCGGAGAGGGUGGUGGAACUCUGGGUGUAGAGGUGAAAUUCGUAGAUAUCCAGAAGAACACCGGUGGCGAAGGCGGCCACCUGGACGGAUACUGACGCUGAGACGCGAAAGCGUGGGGAGCAAACAGG
rnacentral:rRNA from 1 species